rnacentral:tRNA from 1 species
GCGCCGUUAGCUCAGUUGGUAGAGCAGCUGACUCUUAAUCAGCGGGUCCGGGGUUCGAAGCCCUGACGGCGCA